ACCCCCUGCAUCCAGGUAGAUCUGGUGCACAGCCCCCCUCUCGGUUGUUCUGCCACCUUUCAUGGCUGUUGCACCAUUGCCACUGCUCCUGGUGCAGCCAGUGCAGGGCUAGGGGGACGGAACGAGGGGCAGAAAUAACCUGUGCCUAGGCUGGAUGUGGCAGAGAGGAGGUGGCCCAGCCACAAGGAAGGGGGCCUGGAGAGAAGUGGAGUUGCCUCGUCGAGUUAGACUCCGCUCUACUUGCAGGACAGAGACUUCAUGGCUUCCCAAGACGGGACAAAUGGCAGUGCACUAUUCAAAAUGCUUUGAUGAUCCUAAUUUUUGUUUCUGGUGCUGAGAUAUUAUGAAAGGAACUGCAUUUGCAACUUAUUAAAUACUUCUGGGAACAAAUAGUUCACUUUGUUCCGGACUUGUCGUUUUGAGAAAUUAAUCAUCCACGGAGCAAGGGCCAGUCAGGAGAUACCCGUUGGUACCACUGGUUCCAUUGGUGGUAGUUGCAGUGUGCGGGUUCUUCCCUGGAGGUUCCGAGUCCUCCUCAUCUGAGCUAGACUCAAUGUCGCUGCGAUCGUCCUUGGACACCUGUGGGACACCAGAAGAUGAAAACAGUCCUUAAAGUGAAAUGUUUUGCUGAUAUGGAAGAGGCAAAACAAAAAAUGGCAGGAGUACUACAAGGCAUCAAAAUGGACAUGCUCAAAAACUAUUUUGAGCAGUGAAAAAAAAAGUCUUGAUAGGUGUAUUGCAUCGAAUGGAGAGAACUUUGAAGGUGACUGAAGUUUAAACAUGUAAGAAUAUACAACUUUUUAAUAAAUUCUGUUUUGGGGGGGGUCCUCCCUCUAAUUUAAGAAGAAAUGAAGGAAACAUUCUACUGCUUUCAAUAUUAAAAU